UACGAAGGGGGCUAGCGUUGUUCGGAAUCACUGGGCGUAAAGCGCACGUAGGCGGAUGUGCCAGUCAGGGGUGAAAUCCCGGAGCUCAACUUCGGAACUGCCUCUGAUACAGCACGUCUUGAGUCCGGAAGAGGUGGGUGGAAUUCCUAGUGUAGAGGUGAAAUUCGUAGAUAUUCGCAAGAACACCAGUGGCGAAGGCGGCUCACUGGCCCGGUACUGACGCUGAGGUGCGAAAGCGUGGGGAGCAAACAGG
rnacentral:rRNA from 1 species